rnacentral:rRNA from 1 species
GAUCAUGGCUCAGGACGAACGCUGGCGGCGUGCCUAACACAUGCAAGUCGAACGGACGAGGCCCCUUCGGGGACUAAGUUAGUGGCGAACGGGUGAGUAACGCGUGAGGAACCUGCCUUUCAGUGGGGGACAACAGUUGGAAACGACUGCUAAUACCGCAUAAAGCAUAGAGAUCGCAUGGUUUUUAUGCCAAAGAUUUAUUGCUGAAAGAUGGCCUCGCGUCUGAUUAGCUAGUUGGUGGGGUAACCGG